GUAGGUGAACCUGCGGAAGGAUCAUUAACACAUAACCCGCUGAGGCCGAGGGUGAGGGCAGGAAACUGCUCGCUCCUUCGUGUCUUGGCACAUCCAAUAUCCACCCGCGGUCCUGUUCUUCGUACGUCAGCCAACAACCGGGCUGAUGCUUAUCCACCUCGUCACGUGAUCAUCCUGCCAGGCGUCCUUGAUUCCUGUCGACCAGGUUUUUGCGUGGCGGGCUGGCCUUUUAUACCCACACACGAUCAAAUACCCUGCACUUAACCAUCAUGUGCCACGAAAGUGUCGCAUGCUGUUGGCACCGUCAAACGUGUCAGCAACCAAUCACAACUCGUAACAAUGGAUAUCUCGGCUAAC
rnacentral:misc_RNA from 1 species